GAUGAACGCUGGCGGCGUGCCUAAUACAUGCAAGUCGAGCGAACGGACGAGAAGCUUGCUUCUCUGAUGUUAGCGGCGGACGGGUGAGUAACACGUGGAUAACCUACCUAUAAGACUGGGAUAACUUCGGGAAACCGGAGCUAAUACCGGAUGAUAUUUUUAACCGCAUGGUUCAAAAGUGAAAGACGGUCUUGCUGUCACUUAUAGAUGGAUCCGCGCUGCAUUAGCUAGUUGGUAAGGUAAUGGCUUACCAAGGCAACGAUGCAUAGCCGACCUGAGAGGGUGAUCGGCCACACUGGAACUGAGACACGGUCCAGACUCCUACGGGAGGCAGCAGUAGGGAAUCUUCCGCAAUGGGCGAAAGCCUGACGGAGCAACGCCGCGUGAGUGAUGAAGGUCUUCGGAUCGUAAAACUCUGUUAUUAGGGAAGAACAUAUGUGUAAGUAACUGUGCACAUCUUGACGGUACCUAAUCAGAAAGCCACGGCUAACUACGUG
rnacentral:rRNA from 1 species